GCCUAUCAAUAAGCGGAGGAAAAGAAACCAACAGGGAUUCCCCCAGUAGCGGUGAGUGAGGCGGCAAGAGCUCAGAUUCGAAAUCUUGUUUCGGCAAGAGUUGUAGAGUGUAGGCGGGAGUCUCUGUGGAGCGCGGUGUCCAAGUCCCUUGGAACAGGGUGCAUGAGAGGGUGAGAGCCCCGUAGGGUGCUGCGAGAAGCUUAUGAGGCCCUGAUGACGAGUCGAGUUGUUGGGGAAUGCUGCUCCAAGCGGGUGGUAAAUUCCUUAUAAGGAUAAAUAUUGGGGGGAGACCGAUAGCGAACAAGUACUGUGAAGGAAAGAUGAAAAGCACUUUGAAAAGAGAGUGAAACAGCACAAGAAAUUGUUGAAAGGGAAGGGUAUUGGGCUCGACUUGGGGGGUGCGCACCGCUUUUUCUGGUAGGCGGUGUUGUGGGCGCCCUGUGGGCCAGCAUCGGUUCCUGCUGCGGGAGAAGGGGAUCCGGAAAGUGGUUGGAAGUAAAAGUCGUAACAAGGGAAAGCAGCAAAAACGCCGUCACGCAUUUCACGUGCUGAGCGUUCAAGUCCUGGGGU
rnacentral:rRNA from 1 species